CUACGGGACGCACCAGUUAAGAAUAAUCUACAAUGCGCGAAAGCGUGAUAGUUUGAGCCAGAGUGCUUUUCUAUUGAAAAGCUUUUGUCAAAUGUAAAAAGUUUGACGAAUAAGGACUGGGUAAGACUAGUGCCAGCCGCCGCGGUAAUACUAGCGGUCCAAGUCGCAGCCAUUUUUAUUGGGUCUAAAACAUCCGUAGCUUGCUUAAUAAGUUUCUUGUGAAAUUUUAUGUCUCAAGCAUGAGGCUAGCAAGAAGUACUGUUAAGCUAGAGACUGGAAGACGUAAGAAGUAUGUUCAAAGUAGCGGUUAAAUGUGUUAAUCUUGAACAGACUAACAAUUAGCGAAGGCAUCUUACGAGAACAGUUCUGACAGUAAGGGAUGAAGGCUAGGGUCGCGAAAGGGAUUAGAUACCCCAGUAGUC
rnacentral:rRNA from 1 species